CCAGUAAGCAGCUUACCUGUGUGUCUAUUUUUAGUGUCCAGGUGUGGAGUGGAGCUUGUUGUUGGUGUCUCUGUGUGAAGAAACUAUGGGAUUUAGAUGUCUGUAAUUCUGGUGAGCUGAUGUGGAUGUAAAUUCAGCUGCAUGGAUGAGUGUGAGGACAGGGAGGAGGAAGUCCCUCCCUCUAAAAGAGCCAGAAAGAGCCAGAGCAAAGCUCGGAGGAACGAACCUGGACUUGCACCCAGCUCUGUGUCCCUAAAGAGUGUCCAGUCUAAACAUGAAGGUAUUAAAUUUAAAGACCAGCAGGCAUCUGCUGCAGAGAGAUUAAUACCAGAGGAACCAGUACAGGAGAAGCAGCUGGAGCCUCCAGCAUUGACUGCUUCAUCAGCAGAGGAGAAGCUUGCCAGGAUGCAGACACAGUUUGUUUUAAGAGUGCCAUCAGAAAUCCUUAAACAGCUCGUUGAGGCUCUUGUGACAGAUUGUGUUUUGAAUGACUUGGAGAAAGAAUCAAUACUGAUGGAGGAUGUUGGAGAAAAUGAAAAGAGGAUCAGAGUCAGAGAAGAGAGGGCUCGCUGCUUCAUUGAUGAAGUGAAGAAUAAAGGAAACAACGCCUGUGAGAAAAUGAUCAGACAUCUUCAGACCAAAGAUCCAGCUCUCUCCUCUCUGCUGCAUUUAUACUCGGAUACAUCUGCUCAUCAAGAUGUCAUUCAGAGUUGUCAACCUAAAGUUAAGUCUGCACUGAAGAAGAAGUUCCAGUGUGUGUUUGAGGGGAUUGCCAAAGCAGGAAUCCCAACCCUUCUGAAUCAGAUCUACACAGAGCUCUACAUCACAGAGGGAGGGACUGCAGAGGUCAAUUAUGAACAUGAGGUCAUACAGAUUGAAGCAGAAUCUAGGAAACUAGACAGACCAGAAACAACAAUCGGAGAGGAAAACCUCUUUAAAGCCUCACAUGGAAGAAAUGAACCAAUCAGAACAGUGCUGACAAAGGGGGUGGCUGGCAUUGGGAAAACAGUCUUAACACAGAAAUACACCCUGGACUGGGCUGAAGACAAAGCCAACCAGGACAUCCAGUUCAUAUUUCCAUUCACUUUCAGAGAGCUGAAUAUGCUAAAACAGAAAAAGUUCAGCUUGGUGGAACUUGUUCAUCACUUCUUUACUGAAACCAAAGAAGCAGGAAUCUGCAGCUUUGAAGACUUCCAGGUUGUGUUCAUCUUUGAUGGUCUCGAUGAGUGUCGCCCUCCCCUGGACUUCCACAACACUGAGAGUGUGACUGAUGUUACAGUGCCCACUGCAGUUAAUGUACUUCUCACAAACCUGAUCAGGGGGAAACUGCUUCCCUAUGCUCAUAUCUGGAUAACCACACGACCUGCAGCAGCUGAUCAGAUCCCCCCGGAGUAUGUUCACAGAGUGACAGAGGUCAGAGGGUUCACUGAUCCACAGAAGGAGGAGUACUUCAGGAAGAGAUUCAGAGAUGAGGAGCAGGCCAGCAGGAUCAUCUCCCACAUCAAGACAUCACGAAGCCUCCACAUCAUGUGCCACAUCCCAGUCUUCUGCUGGAUCACUGCUACAGUUCUGGAGGAUGUGCUGAAAGCAAGAGAGGGAGGACAGCUGCCCAAGACCCUGACUGAGAUGUACAUCCACUUCUUGGUGGUCCAGGCCAAAGUGAAGAAGAUCAAGUAUGAUGGAGGAGCUGAGACAGAUCCACACUGGAGUCCAGACAGUAGGAAGAUGAUGGAGUCUCUGGGAAAACUGGCUUUUGAUCAGCUGCAGAAAGGAAACCUGAUCUUCUAUGAAUCAGACCUGACAGAGUGUGGCAUCGAUAUCAGAGCAGCCUCAGUGUACUCAGGAGUGUUCACACAGAUCUUUAAAGAGGAGAGAGGACUGUACCAGGACAAGGUGUUCUGCUUCAUCCAUCUGAGUGUUCAGGAGUUUCUGGCUGCUCUUCAUGUCCAUCUGACCUUCAUCAACUCUGGAGUCAAUUUGCUGGAAGAACAAAAAACAACCUCCCAGAAGCCUGAGACCAAAGAAUUUGCAGAGACAGAUUUCUACCAGAGUGCUGUGAACAAGGCCUUACAAAGUCCAAAUGGACACCUGGACUUCUUCCUCCGCUUCCUCCUGGGUCUUUCACUACAGACCAGUCAGAUUCUCCUGCAAGGCCUGCUGACACAGACAGAAAGUAGCUCACAGACUAAUCAGGAAACAGUGCAGUACAUCAAGGAGAAGCUCAGUGAGAAUCUGUCUGCAGAGAAAAGCAUCAAUCUGUUCCACUGUCUGAAUGAACUGAAUGAUUGUUCUCUAAUGGAGGAGAUCCAACAGUCCCUGAGAUCAGGAAGUCUCUCCACAGAUAAACUUUCUCCUGCUCAGUGGUCAGCCCUGGUUUUCAUCUUACUGUCAUCAGAAAAAGAUCUGGAUGUGUUUGACCUUAAGAAAUACUCUGCUUCAGAGAAGGCUCUUCUGAGGCUGUUGCCAGUGGUGAAAGCCUCCAACAAAGUUCUACUAAGUGGUUGUAGUCUCUCACAAAGAAGCUGCGAAGCUUUGUGCUCAGUUCUCAACUUACAUUCCUCUAGUCUGAGAGAGCUGGACCUGAGUUACAACAAUGUGCAGGAUUCAGGAGUGAAUAAGCUUUUUGUUGGAGUAGAGAGUCCGCAUUCUAAACUGGAAACUCUCAGACUGAAUGUCUGUAACCUCUCGGAGAGAAGCUGUAAGACUCUUUCCUCAGUUCUGAACUCACAUUCCUCUAGUCUGAGAGAGCUUGACCUGAGUGACAACAAUCUGCAGGAUUCCGGCGUGAAGAAGCUUUCUGUUGGAAUCAACACAUCACAUUGUAUACUAGAAAUUCUUAGACUGAGUGGCUGUAACCUCUCAGAAAGUAGCUGUGAAGCUCUUUCCUCGGUUCUCAACUCCCAAUCAUCUAGUCUGAGAGAGUUUCACCUAAACAACAAUGACCUGCAGGAUUCAGGCAUGAAGAAACUGUCUGUUGGUUUGGAGAGUCCAAAUUGUAAACUGGAAAUUCUCAGACUGUCAGGCUGUCUGAUCACAGAUGAAGGCUGUAGUUAUCUGGCCUCUGCCCUGAGUGCCAACCCCUCCCACCUGAGAGUGCUGGACCUGAGUUACAAUCAUCCAGGCGACUCCGGAAUGAAGGUGCUGUUGGCUGGACUGAAGGAUCCACACUGGAGACUGGACACUCUCAGGGUGGAGCCUGCUGGAGUCCAAUGGUUGAGACCAGGUCUGAUCGUUUAA